GACGAACGCUGGCGGCGUGCCUAAUACAUGCCAGUUGAGCGAUGAAGAUUGGUGCUUGCACCAAUUUGAAGAGCAGCGAACGGGUGAGUAACGCGUGGGUAAUCUGCCUUUGAGCGGGGGACAACAUUUGGAAACGAAUGCUAAUACCGCAUAACAACUUUAAACAUAAGUUUUAAGUUUGAAAGAUGCAAUUGCAUCACUCAAAGAUGAUCCCGCGUUGUAUUAGCUAGUUGGUGAGGUAAAGGCUCACCAAGGCGAUGAUACAUAGCCGACCUGAGAGGGUGAACGGCCACAUUGGGACUGGGACACGGCCCAAGAUCCUACGGGAGGCAGCAGUAGGGGAUCUUCGGCAAUGGACGAAAGGCUGACCGGGCAACGCCGCGGGAGGGGAGAAGGGUUUCGGAUCGUAAAACUCUGUUGGUAGAGAAGAACGUUGGUGAGAGUGGAAAGCUCAUCAAGUGACGGUAACUACCCAGAAAGGGACGGCUAACUACGUG
rnacentral:rRNA from 1 species